rnacentral:misc_RNA from 1 species
CCUGUAUGGGACUGCUGCGAGAGUAGCACUGCCUGCGGGUGUGGGCGCGUUUGCCUUUAUAGAUGUAAUAUAUAUAUAUAUAUAUUUUUUUUUGCACAUGUAUAGGUGGUUCCAUUCAUGACCUCCGUCAUUCAGCGCCUUCGCCGCGUAGAGGUAGAAGGUCUCGAAAACCUGCGCAACCUCGGCGGCUACCACACGAACAACAGCACCAAAACGAAGAGGCGGGGCGUUGUGUAUCGCAGUGAUCAGCUCUUCCGCAUUCCAGCGUGCAUGGCGCAAAGGGGGCUGGUCGAUCAGCUGCGCAUUCGCCACGUGUACGACCUGUGUGAUAGCACCGAAGUGUCGGAGAAGCGGUAUAGUUUGCUUCACAUGCAACAUACCUCUUUGCCGAUUGACAUGAGCAACGCCAAUCGGUUUUUGAAAGAAGGCGAGAACCUCAAGCAGGUGGCGACGGCACACCGUUUCAUGCAGGAAAUUGACCGAGAGUUUGUGCGCUCGUACGCGCUAACGGUGGGACUCAUCAUCAAGGGCAUAAUCGGCAGCAAAGCAUCCUGCGACAAGGCCUCUCUCAUCCAUUGCACCGCGGGUAAGGACCGCACGGGAUGGUGCUGCUACGUGCUGCUGACACUGCUGGACGUGACGGAGAAGGAGAAGCGAGCCGACUACCUCCUUACGAACACGUUCGUUGGUAUUCCAGCAGACGCCUGGGACUACAAUGGCGCAGAAGGAAUGAGUGAGGAGGCGAUGGCAGCCCUCUGGGCAGCGUUUAACGAGUAUCUGGACGCUGCUCUUGAUGAAUUGAGCAAGAUGGGCGGCAUCUACAAGUACGCGAAGUCGCACAUGGGUCUCACCGACGAGGACAUCGACGAGCUGCGAGAGCUGAUGCUAGAGUAGGUGCGAGUUGCGCAUAUGCUACGCUUCGCUGGUCGGCUCUAUCUCCUGUUUUUUCGCUGUUUUUUUUUUUUGUCUUCCUCACUCUUUUCAGUGGCGGUUUCCUUUGCGCAUCGGCCCGCUACAUCUCCUCGCUUAUCGCAGUUCUUUUUUUUUUGGCGUGCGCUUCUCCCGGGCUUCGUGGUGUCGCUUCUUCUUUUCGCAGAAAGACGUCGUAGACCUUCCCACAUCCCACACCCUCGAUCUCCCUCGAAGCCAAGCCACGUAUGAGCAUCCUCCACCUAUCGUGCGACAAUUUGUCCUUCAUUGUUUUUCCCUUGUGUAUUUGUGAUUCCUUUUCUCUCUUCUUCGUCGAGGAGCUGAAGAGGGCGAGAGGCCAGGGAUGGGGGCGGGCGCGGGGGGGGGGGAAGGCGUGCUGAAAGAGAACAGGGAGCCAGCGAGAAGCGGUGGUCGAACAGUUGGACGAGGCGGAUCAGUUGCUGCUCUGACUGCUUCGCCCCACCCUCCCCAGAAACAAGCGAAAAAAAAAAGAAAAAGAGCUUUUCGCUCUUUAGUUAUGGGGAAGAGACCUUUGCCCCCCCCCCCCCCCAGUGUUUGUUUGAGGCCUUCGCGCUUCAAGCCCUCCCUGGAAUGCCUUCUGUGUGCACUGUGUGCGCCUCUGACAGUGUUCAUGCGUGUGUGUGUGGGGGGGGGGGUGACGAUGCGCUCAUCAGGCGCAUGGAUCUCCAAUGCAUCUCUUUCGAAUGUGCCUCCGUUCUCUUCCUCCCCUUCUGUCCCUAUAACGGCUCGCGUCACUGAUCGAGCUUCAUGUGUGCGAUGCGUCGUGUGCUCUGCGAGAG